ensembl:lncRNA
CCCUAUGGACUGUAGCCUAUGAGGCUCCCCUGUCCAUGGGAUUUUCCAGGCAACAGUACUGGAAUGGUUUGCCAUUUCCUUCUCCAGGGGAUCUUCCCGACCCAGGGAUCGAACCAAGGUCUCCUGCAUUGUAGACAGACGCUUUACCGCCUGAGCCACCAGGGAAGCCACCAGGAGUGGGGUGAAGUAAAACCAAAUUUAUUUUAAACUAGUGUUGAAGUCAAAUUAGAAUUAAGCUGCUGCUUAAUGUGGAUAGGGAGGUAUAGGUGUGUCUGAUGUACUUUCCUCAGUACAGGCUUUAGGUAUGUCUGGUGGUACUUUCCUCAGUACAGACAAUAGCUAUUAAGAUGGAAGGGCUGGGUUUGAGAAUGAGAAAUACAAAGUGCAGUUUUUUUUUGUUGUUGUUUGUUUUGCUAAUAAGGAAUUGUCUCUUUGCUUGAGAAUAUCAUUCAUUAUAAUUAAGCUCAGUUAAUUGAAAGUGGAAAAUGGAAUAUUUAACAGUUUGGAAAGACAGAAAGUAGCUGGUUUGAAUUACCAUCUGUGUAGGUGCCAUGUAAAUUUUCUGUUUCUGCCAGUGAACACAGACUCUAGCAUCAGUGCCCUGUUCUUCUACUAUCCAGCCUGUCUUCAGAAGAUACUGCAAACAAAACAAAACAAAACUGAGUCUGGGUACAUAUAUAUUGUAGGUAACUUACUGAAACCUUAGGAAGAGAAUGUAAGAUAAUGUGGUGAAUAACAGAUGGUAUGGACACUCUGACAUUCUGAAUUAGAUAAAUCAGUUCUUGUCUGGAGUCAUCACUCAUACUUUCCAGUAUGGCCCAACCCAAGAUGUAUUACCAAAUCCCCAGACAUAAAAGGUCACUGUGGUCACCCACUGGGACAAAUAUAGAUUCUCUGCACAUACAGUUUUAAUUAGCAGGGUUUCAGGAUGGGACAUCGGCUAUUUUUAACUGAUGGUGAUAGCUUUAUUGUUUCCUUCAAAAUUCAGUGACUCUACUGAGGAUGUUGUGAGCUACUGAAUGGACAAGACCUGCAUGGAAUUAAAGGCCAAGCAUCCCAAAUUUCCUCAAACACUGACGAGAAACGUGUAUCCAAGGAGUAAGAAACUUAAGACAGAAUGAGUUGGGGUAAGGAAGUACAAGAUAUGGGUAUCACUGACAAAGUUAAUUUGGUUCUGGUGACAUUUUGUUGCUAACCAAGCUUGUGUGCUGAUAAUCCUUAUUUGUAAAGAAGUUACAGCACUUCCUGAUGUAUCUAAAGACAAAUUUCGUUCAAUAAUUGGUGUAAAUAUGUUUAGUCCCUUUGAUGUCAU